AAUAAAAUCACCGCCAUUAUCCAGCAACCACCCCAUCGGUAAUCGUCUGCUUAGCCUUCAACUUUUUGCCUUUUUCCCCUAAUUAUUUGUAUCAUGUUUUUCAAUUUCUAGGUAUUCGUUAUUCAUAGCAAGUAUUAGAAAAAAAUUGAGAUUGCUCUAUUGGAUACCUAAUAUUAAAUCUGAUUUUCUUUAUUAUUCUUAUUAUCAUAUUAUAUUUCCCAACCUGUGACUGAUAUAUAUAAUCUAGGUUUAGGGUUUUAGAAUUCAGUGAGUAUUUUGUGUAUAGAUAUAGAUACGAAUCUAUGGCCGCGGGAGACUACAAUGAAUUUAGGGAGAGUAAGGCUGAUUUUCAUGUAUCCAUUAACAAAGUUAGUGUUUCUAGAGAAGACAAUGAUCGCAGUAAUAAUACUGACGAUAAGAGGGGCCGGAACCGGGUGGUUCGGGACAGGAGUAAGGUUAGGCAGAGGGAUGUUAAAGAUAGGGAGUUAAGCAAUGGUUACCGUUCUGAUACCGGUAGGAGCUAUUUGAGAGGUAGUGGUGGAGUUAGAGGUAGGGAACCCGGUGAGGUGUUUAGUGAUGAGGGUAUUGGUUUCGGUAAUAAUGAUAAAGGUGUUAAGGUAGAGGAAGUGCUCCGUUCUAGUCCUAGUCCUCCGCGUAAGAUAAGAAAGUUCUCGCCUAUUGUUUGGGACAGAGAUGAAAAGGAAAUGGGUGUUACUUUUAAGAGCAAGUCACCCGACUCUGUUCCUCUAGAUGUUGUACAUAGUUCUACCUUAGAAGUUGAUAAGCUCGAGACUGCAGGACGUUUUCCAGGUAAUACUCGUGUUGAUAUUGGGUUACAUGAUUCUAAUGGUUUUGAAGUCGAUUUUGGUAGAGCUUCAUCCCGUGUUCAGAAUGAGAAUGUAGACUUGUCUUUUACAUCUGUGAGGGAUGAGAAUCUUGUGUAUGUUCAGAAUGCAGGGAAACCAAAAGACGAAGACUAUGUGGUUGCUCCCAAUAUAAGGUCAUCACGAUGGGCAAAUGAUGCCGAUUCCCCAGUCCAUGAAGGUGAAGUUUCUGAUGCGUUAGGUAAUGAUGGGAUUAAGAAGCGGAAAUUGCGUCGCUGCUCUGUACCUCUUGGUUCGGGAAAGCAAGUGUUGAGUGCGGAUAUAGGGGAGCAUCAUAGAGAAGGCGCCGAAGGAAAUAGCCCACGACCGCUUGAGUCCCUUGAAAAUGGCUGUCACAUUAGGUCUUUUAGUACUGACGAUCAUCUUGAGAAGGAUAUGGUGAGGAAGGACUAUCCGGAAACAUAUGAGGAUCUUGGUAGUGAUGGAUCUAGUGUUAGCCAAUCGUAUACCGAUUCCGAUAGCGACUCCGACUCUCAUGGCACACCACGACAGGUUCUACCUCCUCAAAGAAUUGUAAAUAUGCUACAAGGUUGUAGAAGUGUUAAUGAGUUUGAGAGAUUGAACAAGAUAGAUGAAGGCACUUACGGGGUUGUUUACAGGGCUAAAGAUAAAAAAACGGGAGAAGUUGUUGCUUUGAAGAAGGUGAAGAUGGAGAAAGAAAGAGAAGGGUUUCCUUUGACAUCCCUGAGGGAAAUAAAUAUCCUUCUAUCCUUUCAUCAUCAGUCAGUGGUAGAUGUGAAGGAAGUGGUGGUUGGCAGCAACCUGGACAGUAUUUUUAUGGUGAUGGAAUACAUGGAACACGAUCUUAAGGCACUGAUGGAGACAAUGAAACAACCUUUUAGUCAGAGUGAAGUAAAAUGCCUUAUGCUCCAGCUUUUGGAGGGAACGAAAUACCUUCAUGACAAUUGGGUUCUUCACAGAGAUUUAAAGACAUCAAAUUUACUUUUAAAUAAUCGUGGUGAGUUGAAGAUUUGUGACUUUGGAUUGUCUCGCCAAUAUGGAAGCCCUUUAAAACCCUACACUUAUUUGGUAGUGACUCUUUGGUACAGGGCACCAGAACUUCUGUUGGGAUCCAAACAGUAUUCUACUGCGAUUGACAUGUGGUCAUUGGGAUGUAUCAUGGCUGAAUUGUUGUCAAAACAACCAUUAUUCAAUGGGAAAACGGAGUUUGAUCAGCUUGACAAGAUUUUUAAAACCCUUGGUACACCAAAUGAGAUGAUUUGGCCUGGGUUUUCAAAGCUUCCUGGAGUGAAGCCGAACUUUGUUAAGCACCAGUAUAAUUUAUUACGUAGAAAAUUCCCUGCAACAUCUUUUACUGGAUCACCAGUUCUGUCUGAUGCUGGAUUUGAUUUGCUGAACAAACUUUUAACCUACAACCCUGAAAAGAGGAUAACAGCUGAAGCUGCUCUUAACCAUGAGUGGUUUUGUGAAGUCCCUCUUCCGAAGUCUAAAGAUUUUAUGCCUACUUUUCCUGCUCAUCAUGCACAGGACAGGCGCACACGCCGGGUGAUGAAGAGCCCUGAUCCUUUAGAGGAGCAGCGUAGGAAAGAGCUGCAACAAGCCAAGUUUGGGACAGGUGGUUUGUUUGGCUAAGAUAAGAUGCUAUGAAGAAUUUGAUCUUGUGCUGUUUUUGGCAGGCCCAUUUCAUUAUCUGGGUGUGAAGAGAUAUCUACUUCCGCUUCCUGUCAACAUUGCAGGCUGACUUCUUUGUGCAAGGUGUGGCAUAAUGGCCUUGCUUUUGCUGUAGGGGGGAAUUUAUACUUAGAAAUUUGUCGGUGUAACAACUUUUCUGUUUGUGUACUAGGUGGUUGGUGUUGCAUGGAGGGGGCAUUCUUAGCUUUUGAUGGAGUGUCUAACUUAAAGUUGUGCAUUUUGAAGCAGGCUGGAUUUACACUAUAUUCUUGAGAUUGUAUCUAGAAGAAAAGAAAAGAAAGAAAGAUAAGUGAUGAAAAGCUCAUGUUUGACCAAGCAAAGUGAACAUUCUUUCUUAUCAAACAUUUAUUGUGCUGCAUGCCUGCAUCCCUACUUAGUAUUUGAACUGAAGAUAUCUUGUAAAAAGGUAUAAUGAGAUGAAUCAUCGCUACUCACUAGAUUGAUAUUGGAUGUUCAGUUUAUAGGGUAUUUAUCCAGAAGUGGUAUAUGAUGCAUGAUUUUUGAGGCCAUGUUGAAGUGUGAAGCUCAAGGAAAUGAUCUCUACAGGUUCGAAAAUGCUUAUACUUAACAUUAUGAAGCUUAUGCAGUUUUAUAUAGGAAGUAUGACGAGCACAAGGAUUUAGAUUCACAGUGUGUAUAAUAUGGCAGUAGACUGAUGGCCAAGGGACUCUGAGAUCAUACUUAGGCUGGUUCCCAUAGUAUAAAGUUUGGCGCUGGACUCAACUGUAUGUACAUAUAAUUGAGACUCUAUCUGAUGUCAGGAAGUGUGGUCAUUUAGGCAUGUUUUAUAUAGAAAGACAUGGACACAUUAACUGCAAUGUGCUGUGUUGACAGUUAUGACUUCUAUGAAGUUAGUGUAUAAUUACUUGGGAUACUGUGGAAACGAAUUGGAAAGCCAAUCCUAUUCGGAUGCUACUAGUAUACGUGACAAGUGACCUCUGCACUGGCCAAGUAUUAUGGCGUUUUGGAUUAUCGCCUGGCGAUACCUUAGCGUUCUCCAGCCCAUUCCACACGUGUGCAGUUUUUUUAGCUUGCCUUCCCGCUAUGUUUACUUUCAGUUACUUGGUUUCAUACCUGCUUUGUUAAAGGCAAUUAUGCCCCUCUUCGCUAGACAUCACCCAAAACCAGCUGCUCCAUUUAUCUUUUAAUUGCUUCUAGAGAUAUCUAAAAUAACUUCCAAAUGAAACUUAACUGUUUUUAUAAGAUUAUAACUGGAAAAAAGUAUUGUUUAUUUAAA